UGAUGUCACAUACGAUGUUGAAACAUUUCUGAAUGAUGGCUCAGCUGACCUCCUGGACAAAAAUAAUGAGAGUGAGUCCAUUCAAGCUGAACCUGAAGCUGAUAAAAUUAAUAAGCGACCCUCUAUCAGAAUUCAGAAGGAUCAUCCUAAAGAUCUCAUUAUAGGAGACCCAAAUAAAGGGGUCACCACUAGAUCAAGGGAAGUGGUCUCACAUGCCUAUUUU
rnacentral:lncRNA from 1 species